UACGUAGGGUGCGAGCGUUGUCCGGAUUUAUUGGGCGUAAAGAGCUCGUAGGCGGUUUGUCGCGUCGGCCGUGAAAUCUCCACGCUUAACGUGGAGCGUGCGGUCGAUACGGGCAGACUUGAGUUCGGUAGGGGAGACUGGAAUUCCUGGUGUAGCGGUGAAAUGCGCAGAUAUCAGGAGGAACACCGGUGGCGAAGGCGGGUCUCUGGGCCACUACUGACGCUGAGGAGCGAAAGCAUGGGGAGCGAACAGG
rnacentral:rRNA from 1 species